AGUGAACGCUGGCGGCGUGCCUAAUACAUGCAAGUCGAACGGAAAUUAAGUAGCUGGCUAUUUAUUCUUAGUGCCACACGGGUGAGGAAUAUAUAUCUAACUUACCCAUUACUAAGGGACAACAUUUGGAAAGGACUGCUACUACCUUAUACUCCGUAUCUAUAUAAGUAGAGACGGGAAAGUUUUUAGUUAAUGGAUAGGGCUAUAUCGUAUCAGCUAGUUGAUAAGGUAAUGGCUGACCAAGACUAUGACGCGUAACUGGUCUGAGAGGAUGAUCAGUCACACUGGAAGUGAGACACGGUCCAGACUCAUACGGGAGGGAGCAGUAGGGAAUAUUGCUCAAUGGGGGAAAGUCUGAAGGAGCUACGCGGCGUGGAGGAUGACUCUUUUCGGAGAGUAAACGCCUUUUAUUGGGAAAGAAUUAUGACGGUACCCAAGGAAUAAGCACCGGCUAACUCCGUG
rnacentral:rRNA from 1 species